AUUGAACGCUGGCGGCAGGCUUAACACAUGCAAGUCGAGCGGAGUGAUGGUGCUUGCACUAUCACUUAGCGGCGGACGGGUGAGUAAUGCUUAGGAAUCUGCCUAUUAGUGGGGGACAACAUUCCGAAAGGACUGCUAAUACCGCAUACGCCCUACGGGGGAAAGCAGGGGAUCUUCGGACCUUGCGCUAAUAGAUGAGCCUAAGUCGGAUUAGCUGGUUGGUGGGGUAAAGGCCUACCAAGGCGACGAUCUGUAGCGGGUCUGAGAGGAUGAUCCGCCACACAGGGACUGAGACACGGCCCAGACUCCUACGGGAGGCAGCAGUGGGGAAUAUUGGACAAUGGGCGGAAGCCUGAUCCAGCCAUGCCGCGUGUGUGAAGGAGGCCUUUUGGUUGUAAAGCACUUUAAGCGAGGAGGAGGCUCUUGAGGUUAAUACCCUUGAUGAGUGGACGUUACUCGCAGAAUAAGCACCGGCUAACUCUGUGCCAGCCGCCGCCGUAA
rnacentral:rRNA from 1 species